rnacentral:rRNA from 1 species
AUUAAUAAGCUUCUAAUUUACUCUGGGUAGUACCAGCUAUCUAUAAACUCAAAGAAUUUGGCGGCAACUCCACCUGUCAGAGGAACCUGCCCCGUAAUUGAUGAUCCACGUAAAGAUAACUUGGUUUAAAAGUUUGUAUACCGCCGUUUAGGGUAUGUUUAAAAAUAUGCCCAUAAUUGAAUUAUCAAGUACGCCAGGUCAAGGUGCAGCUUAUGACUAAGAGGAGGUGGGUUACAUUAUUUAUAUGUAUACGGAUUAUAAAAGUAAUAUAUUAUGAAGGCGGAUUUGGCAGUAAUGUUUAUAAAACAUGAUAAGGUUCUGAUUUGU